GACGAACGCUGGCGGCGUGCCUAAUACAUGCGAGUAGAACGCUGAAGAGAGGAGCUUGCUCUUCUUGGAUGAGUUGCGAACGGGUGAGUAACGCGUAGGUAACCUGCCUUGUAGCGGGGGAUAACUAUUGGAAACGAUAGCUAAUACCGCAUAACAAUGGAUGACACAUGUCAUUUAUUUGAAAGGGGCAAUUGCUCCACUACAAGAUGGACCUGCGUUGUAUUAGCUAGUAGGUGAGGUAAUGGCUCACCUAGGCGACGAUACAUAGCCGACCUGAGAGGGUGAUCGGCCACACUGGGACUGAGACACGGCCCAGACUCCUACGGGAGGCAGCAGUAGGGAAUCUUCGGCAAUGGGGGCAACCCUGACCGAGCAACGCCGCGUGAGUGAAGAAGGUUUUCGGAUCGUAAAGCUCUGUUGUAAGUCAAGAACGGGUGUGAGAGUGGAAAGUCCACACUGUGACGGUAGCUUACCAGAAAGGGACGGCUAACUACGUG
rnacentral:rRNA from 1 species